GCUGAUUCUGAUUGAAGAUAAAAUCCUGAACUUUUGCUCUCUUUGAAAUUGUACAGAUUUUUGAAAGUGAUUAAAUUCAGUCUGCAUUCUACUUGACUGAGAGAGGCUGAUUCUGAUUGAAGAUAGAAGAUACUGAACUUUUGCUCUCUUUGUAAACGUACAGAAUAAAGUGCCUUAAAGUCCCCAUGAAAUAAAAAUUGACCAUACUUACUUUGUUGGCCUAAAUUGAUCGUUUUGUGGUGAACAAUUCAUCCAUGCAAGUCAAUCCACACAAAAACAUUUUUUGGCUUCGUAAUCUUUAAUCAAAAUCUGAAAAUUCCCGCCCCUCUGCAUUGGAGGACCUUCCCUGAUGAUGUAGGUUUGACGGUUUAGGUGUCUCCUUAACAUCCGUAACCACGCCCCUCCAACUGACAGUAGACAGGCUGUCUGUGUGUUUGCGAGCAUUGACAGCGUGUGAAAGGAGAGAUGGCGAGGAGGUGCAUUUUUGGUUGUGACACUCACGGAACACUUUUCCCAUUCCCUAAAAUUCCCUCGUUACGGUCCAAAUGGCUCGAUUUUUUACAUUUCGAGGAAGGAGGGAUAACAGAGAGGUCACGGAUGUGCUCGAAGCACUUCACGCAUGAAUGCUUCCAAAAUUGGACAGAACACGAAAUGGGGUUUGUGAGAUAUCUGUCAUUAACAGAUAACGCGGUCCCGUCAGUGUACACCGUUGGUACCUCACAAAGUUUGACGCCCGUAACAAGAGAUGUGGCCUGUCAAUGUCAUGCACCAUCUUUGAAAAAUGUGUCAGUUCAAACGGAAACCCACAAGCAGAAAAGACGGAGUAAAGCUGUUCAGGUGAAGCCUUUCGGCCUCUCUGUUGGUGUGAGUGUUGGUACAGGUGUCGGAGCUCCGUGUCUCACUUCAACAACAAUUAAAAGGCCACGCAUUGAAGACACUGUUCGAUGAGAGCUCAACAUACACCUCAAAUCAGUGUUCAGAUGUCACCUAUGAGCCUGAUGUCACUCGAGAGCAUUGAAAAGUACUGUCAGCACUCUGUCUGGAAUGUAUAUGUCCCAGGACAUUUUUUAAUCAUCAAAAGAACUUUCUCCAGCCAACAAUUUUAUGGCACUGGAGGACUGAACAAAACACAAUGCUGGAGAUGGCAAGGCAUUCUGGAAAGGCCGUUGUCUUGGGUGGUGACAUGAGAGCUGAUUCCCCAGGACACUGUGCCAAGUAUGGAAGCUACACGAUGAUGAACCUGGAAGACAACAAGGUGGUGGACAUUCAAUGAAUCCAGAGUAAUGAAGUGGGUGCAAGUCCACGCAUGGAACGCGAAGGGUUUUUGAGAAGCCUCCAGUUCCUGGAAUCAGCAGGGUUAAGGGUUGGUGCAAUCGUCACAGAUCGGCAUCCUUCGAUACAAAAGUAUCUGAGGGAGCAACGACCUGAGAUCCAGCAUUAUUUCGAUACUUGGCAUGUCGCUAAGGGUCUCGCCAAGAAGAUCGAUGCACUAGGGAAAGAGCGUAGUUGUGGAGAGGUUCUGGCCUGGAGGAGAAGUAUCAUAAACCACCUUUACUGGUGUGCAUCCUCUUCCAAGACAGGUGAAGAAGCCGUGGAAAAGUGGAAGUCUGUAACCAACCACGUGCAAAAUGUGCACCAUCAUAACAGCGACUUAUUCCCAGUCUGCGCCCACCCACCUCUUGAGAUGCGAGCUUGGCUGACACCAAGUAAGGAUUUUGUUGAUUCAUAAUGCUACAUGAUUAGCCUAGUUUGGUAACAACCAUGAAGAUAACUAUGGCUGGGUUGAUAGAGUUUUUAUGAUUAAAUUCCUAUUUACAAGCUCUUGACUCAAUUCUAAUCUUAAUUCAAUUUGAUAUUGAAUUUUAUUCUGAAAUAUUUCAGAUACCUUUAAAUUUUCCAUUAUGGAAAAAAAAUAUUUAUUAAAUAAUGCUGUAAACUAUAAUACUGAAAUCUAAAACUAAAAUAUUGAUUCUGCUAAGAGUGAAACGAUUGAUUUUUUUAUAAGCCAUGACUAUAAUAUUAAAGAUUACGAUUGACAACAGUCUGUUGAAUUCAAGUGCCAUAGUGAUAGACAGAUGCAAUGGGAUUUAAUAAUCUAUAUCGAUAUUUCCAGCCAUAAAAAUUACAUUAGUUAUAUGUUGAUAAGGACUCGCUGUCUUUAUUAGGCACUAAAGCUUGUGAACGGUUUUGUGACCUGAUGAUAAACCAGCGACUACUGAAAGACGUGUCAAAACUGAGCCCUCACCAUCAGACCUCCUCAGUUGAAGGCUUCCAUAGCCUGAUAUUGAAAUUUGCAUACAACCAGAGUGGUGAACCGUCUAUCAAAGUGAAAUGGCCAAAAUACAAAAAGGGGGAUCAUUCCCUUCACUACACAAAAACAGAACCAACCUACAGUAAGGAUAAAAGGAUAAUGUUACCAUACAAUAAAUAUGGAAAAUAUGUAGAUCUUCUGCAAAAUUAGAUAUUCAAUUAAUACGUACAUUACAUUAUACAUGUUGUUUAUGGUAAAUGGAGUUUGAUUGACCAAAAUGUUGUUUGAUCCCAAUUGUAGAAAAAUGUCUAAUUAAAAAAUGCCAGGUUCAUUGUAUUUUUUGCGUUAUAGACUACAUGGAGAGUCUGCUAAGACUAAGACUCUGCUCUUUUUGAGGAGGUGGUCAUCAAUCCUGGCCCAUACCAAGAGC